UGAUUUGAUUUUCCUGUUUCCACGACGAUGAAUUCCUGCAAUGAAGAAAGAAGUGAACCCUUUCGACGCAUCAACGGACGGAUUCGAGUGGGAAAAAACCGAAAGUGGAGGCGUUUGUAUGGAAAUCAAGUGUUAAAUUGGUAAGUCAACUUCUUCCUUCUAUCUCUUGAAAGAUACGUCUUUCGGUGAAAAACAGGAAUGUGUUUAACAUAAUUUGCUCAAUCUCUUUCGAUAAUGUCACCCUUGAACGAACCACCUUCAUGCCGAUUAUUACUUCUCCCCCCUUCGUUUUAACCGGAAAUAGAAGUGAUCCGACUAGAAAUUGCUUAUCAAAAUGGUAAACGGUGGUUUAACGUAAUUUCCUCAUUACACAAAUUCGCCCUUUUCACCUUAUUAAUUAUUUCCAUAAUCAUUUUUUUUCCUUCAUAAUGAAGGCUUACAUUGUGUACACGCCCUUUCACUUUCGGUCGUAAAGGCAUAAAGAAGGUUUACGACUUGGGGAAAGGACGGAUAGAAAAUCGCGGGUGUCGUAAAUCUU